rnacentral:misc_RNA from 1 species
GGAGGGAUCAUUAAAUUUAGUGGUAAUUAUUUACCACUCAAUAGACAGUUUUUGUAUUGGUACCACACCCUUUUCUCUGAAAAGAGACUGCUGUGCUGGCUCCACCCUCACCCUUUUUUCUGAAAAAGACUUAGUUUUUUUUCAGAAAAAAAUGGACUUAGUUUUUUUUUGACUUUUUUCUAUUUUUAGACCUAAGUCAAAAAAUACUAAAUCUAUUUUUAGACUAAAUCUAUUUUUAGACCUAAAUCUAUUUUUAGACCUAAAUCUAUUUUUAGACCUAAAUCUAUUUUUAGACUAAAUUUAUUUUUAGACCUAAAUCUAUUUUUAGACUAAAUCUAUUUUUAGACCUAAAUCUAUUUUUAGACCGAUUCUACUUUGGCCUCUGUAACAUUCCAUCACUAGUGAUGGAGGAGCAUUAUUGGAGACUUUAGUGCUUAUAACCACUUUAAAGUGGUCGAAAACCUGUCGACGGGGGAUAUCUAGGUUCCCACAACGAUGAAGAGCGCAGUAAACUGCGAUAAAACUUGUGAAUUGCAGAACUACGUGAAUCAUCUAGGUCUUGAACGCAUCUUGCACCCCACCAUCAAGGAUGGGGUAGGUCGAGUUGAGCGCCAAUUCUAUCUUAGAUCACCGGAAGGUGCAUUUGGGCUGGUGAAUAACCUACCAACCUUAAAUCAAAUGGUAGACUUUAAUGGUCAAAAAAGUGAUUUUUUGAUCCUUUGGUCUUUAAGAGUCUAUCCAUUAGUUUUUUCAGUGGAUAUAGUCUGGGGAAACCUGUUCUAUUUAACUGAAAAAAAUCUUGUUUGGCUCCAACAGGGGUUAACAACCAUCCCCUUCUUCAAAUGGUUAAAUAGAGUCUUUACGACUCUAAAACUGGCCUCAGCUGGUCCAGUCUACCCACUGAACUUAAGCAUAUCAUUAUGUGGAGGAAAAGAAACCAACAGGGAUUCCCUAAGUAAGGGCGACUGAACAGGGAACAGCUCAAACUUGAAAUCGGCCUGGGUUUAUCCCCUUGUCCGAAUUGUAGUUUUGCGAAUGGAUUCUGGUAGGGACCUGGUCUAAGACCCCUGGAACGGGGCGCCAUAGAAGGUAAAAGCCCUGUAAGACUGGUGUCGCUACCUGUUUGUUUCCAUUUCAAGGAGUCAGGCUAUUUGAGAGCAUAGCCUAAAGAGGGUGGUAAGCUCCAUCCAAAGCUAAAUAUCAGUGGGAGACCGAUAGCGAACAAGCACCGCGAGGGAAAGGUGAAAAAGACUCUGAAAAGAGAGUUAAAAGUAUUUGAAACCAUCGACAGCGAAGCGAAUGUGUUCCCUUUUCCAGGGUGUUAGAAUCAGCUGGGUGAUAUAAUCCAAGCAACGGUGGUCCCUGCUUUGAGUAGGUCCCAUUAUUGUUAGGAUCAACCAGUGCACUUCUGAUACUUUUGGUGCAACAUAUUUGUGUAACCAACUAGGGAGGUGAUGGAAGGUAAUCAGCUCUGCUGGUGAAUACCGUUACCCUAACCCUAACUGUAUUGCAUAAAUAAUUAGGUCAGGACCUUAUCACAUCUCUGCAAGGGAUGUUGUGACCUAGUGGGGCCUUCUACCUAAAAAAUAGGGGGUCUGCUAGUUAUAACAUCCACUAGGAUGUGGUUUUUGUUGUAUGGGGGGCACAUUUGUCCCGUCUUGAAACACGGACCAAGGAGUGUAGAUUGUAUGCAAGUCUAAGGGGUAUUAAACUUCGUAGGCGUAGCGAAAGCGUUUUGUGUGAAUUCUAAGCAACACAGACCAAUCGUAACACAUAGUGGGAUGUAUUGAGUUUGAGCAUACAGUCUACGACCCGAAAGACCGCGAACUAUACCUGCAUAGGGUGAAGCCAGAAGAAAUUCUGGUGGAGGCCCGUAGCGGUUCUGACGUGCAAAUCGAUCGUCAAAUGUGGGUAUAGCGGCGAAAGACUAAUCGAGCGGUCUAGUAGCUGGUUCCCUC